rnacentral:rRNA from 1 species
UAAGGAAUAUUGCUCAAUGGGAGAAAUCCUGAAGCAGCAACGCCGCGUGGAGGAUGAAGGGUCUAUGACUUGUAAACUCCUGUAAAGAAGGAAAAAAUUCCCAUUAGAUGGGAGAUGAUGGUACUUCUGGAGUAAGCCCCGGCUAACUACGUGCCAGCAGCCGCGGUAAUACGUAGGGGGCAAGCGUUGUCCGGAUUUACUGGGUGUAAAGGGUGCUCAGGCGGAUUUGUAAGUCAGAGGUGAAAUCUUACAGCUUAACUGUGAAACUGCCGUUGAUACUGCAAGCCUAGAGUAUGGAAGAGAGUGAUGGAAUAUCUGGUGUAGCAGUGAAAUGCGUAGAUAUCAGAUAGAACACCAAUGGCGAAGGCAGUCACUUGGUCCAUUACUGACGCUAAAGCACGAAAGCGUGGGUAGCAAACA